ensembl:lncRNA
UGUCUGUCCAAGACACACUUUCUCUUUCCAGUGUGGGUGAGGACUUCUAAAGGAAGUGAGCCCAGCCACCUGGAAUGAACGUGUCACUUGAAACAGGAAAGGGCGCUGCAGGCAGAAAUUGCAGGCUCUACUUUCACGAAAGACUCAGGACUCACUGUGCAGGUCUCCGGUCCAAAACCACACCUGGCCUCGCAUCCUUCUAAUGAUAAUCCCCACAGAGUUCCAGGUGUUCAGCCCAGUGACUGAUGGUGAGCCCUGCCGAGUUCGGAGGGACAAGAUGGAGGCUAUAUAUAAAUCCGACAAAGUUUCAAAAGGUAAAAGACGCAUGACCGAUUAUGAAAGCCUACUCUGCUCUGGGAGAGUGCCGAGGCUUCACUUCUGCCCUGGCUGAAUCCACUGUCUUUGUUCCCUCUUGGAAGACAAGGCAGUUUCUCCACCGCAGCUCCCCAUUUGUGGAAAGAGGUGAGAUUAUCCGCCCAGUGGGACUCAUCUGGGCGAGGCACCUUUGAAGGCCUCAGGGCAUGACAGCGCGCUGCGCUCUGAAGGGCAGGUGCCAGGACUCCCAAAGGCAAAGGCGCCAGGGCCAGCUGACGCCUCCUGAGAGGUCUGAGAGCCCGGUGGGGAGGGCGGGUGGCAGGCCUCACCUGCGGUCAUGAUGAGGACUCCCGGGAGGACUGCGCGGUGGAGGCCGCCGUGGAGCGAGGUCAGCGGGCAGCCCAGGAAGCAGUCGGGCAAGACAUGGCCUCUUGGAAGGUGGCGGCUGGCACGAAGCUCUGCUCCCGGCUCAGCUGCCGUCGCCGAGCCACACGCAUCGGCAGGAGGAGGCCAAACCAGGCUGAUGCCAGGAGGAAGGAAACUCAGAGAAGUCGCGGAAGGUGAACGCAGAGCCUGCUCAACAAGAUCUUGUCUCUAGAAUUAAGAUGCGCCCUGUUAGGGCAGAUGGUUUAGGGCCAAUCCAGGCUCUCCAGAGAGGCAAGGGCUGAGACAUCACCUUUCCUAAUCCCUUUAUUUUAUAUAACACAAGUGGGAACUCAGGCCUGGAGAGUAUUGGUGACUUGCCCAAAGUCUCACAGCUGAAGAGCAACGGGACAGCCAGUCAUUUCUUACUUGGUUAUUACAUUCAGUAUAACCUAGGAUCCCUAAAUGGUUCAUCAGGCUCUUUCGUUAAGUCGUGUUUGACUCUUUGUGACCCCAUGGACUGUAGCCCACGAGGCUACUCUGUCCAUGGGAUUUCCCAGGCAAGAAUACUGGAGCGGGUUGCCAUUUCCUUCUCCAGGGGUUCUUCCUGACCCAGGGAUGGAACCUGGAGUUACUGUGGUGUCUUCUUUUCUGUGUGUGUGUGUGUGUGUGUGUGUGUGUUUCCUGACAACCCUGAAGCUCUCCUAAAAGCGGCUAGGUCCCUCUCAUCUCUGUUAAACAAAUGCUGUCUCUACCUAACCCAAAAUAAAUAAAUCAAGACCAAGCAUCACUUAAGGGCAGCAUUCCUCUCGCUCAUCUCUCUUGUGUCUGCCAAGUAAACCGCUUAAUGCAAACAAACUCUACUCCCACGCUUCAAAAGUGAUGUUGAUUUUUUUCUGAUUGUGACAUUACUUUGCUCAUUAUGGAGAGUCUGAAAAUCAUGUAGAAAUAAAACAAAGAGAGUGACAAAAGUCACUUGUAAUCCAACAAACUCUGGAACAAUCUGUGUUAAAAUUUCAGUCCUUUUUUUUCAAAGAUCACUUAUUAAAACAAAACACAAACUCAAACUAAUACCAACAAUGACAUUUUGGAUUUUUUUUCUUUUCUGAUAUUAGAGCAGGAACUUUUCCGUGUGAUUAAAUAGGCUUUGAAAAUAUAAUUUUUAAGGUCUGUAAAUUAUUUCCUCACUUAGCUCUCUCUUUGUUUCUAUAACCAGAUUCCUAUUGUAUAUUCAAGUUUCCAACUUCCCAGUAUUAUAUGUAAUCUGGUGAUUAUCAUCCUUGCACACAAAUUCCUAUCCACAUCUCAGACAUCAUGGACAUCUCAGAUAUCACCUGGACUGUAGAGGCUGUCCAGGUGAAAUGGUCUGAAAACUGCUAAUUCUGAAGCUAGUGGAAGCUGAAGACAUCAUCGAGGUUGCUGCUAACUGCGGGGUAGGGGGCUGACCUGGGUCCCCUGGCCUCCUCUGUUCCAGGCCUGGCCUUCCUCUGGGCUGCCUUAGUCCUGACCACAUUUACCCUGACAAGGGACUCAGCUCCUUCUCUGGUUUUCACAAGAGAAAAUCACUUAAACAAAACUGUGACGUGUUUAGAAGAUAUUGCUGAAGAUUUGGGGGUCCCUGAUGGGGCCACUGGGCUGUCCUUCCCCUCGUUCCUUAUCCUGUUCUUCCUGGAAUAUCCAGUCUUUCCUUUCUGUCAUGCAGUGCUGUGGCCUUACUAUCAUUGGUGUGGCACGAGGCCACCUAAUACCCAGCCCCUUAAGAGUGGGGCUCAUCUUCUAGCUAAGUACUCAUCUCAGCAAAGACAUUUCUCAGCCUUAGAGGAAUUCUAGUGCCAACAGUGAAUUCUUAUAUGUAGAAGAGAUUGGAAUGUUCCAGGGGAAUGACAGUUGAAUGGUAUAAAAAGUAGGCAUUGAAAGAUGUUUAAAGCCUAGAACUAGAUGUGGGAUAAUAAAUAUAAAUAACAUAGAACUAGAAAAAGUCAUUUUAAAAUUUGUAUGGAAUCACUGCUGCUGCUGCUGCUGCUAAGUUGCUUCAGUCGUGUCCGACUCUGUGCGACCCCGUAGAUGGCAGCCCACCAGGCUCCCCCGUCCCUGGGACUCUCCCAGCAAGAACGCUGGAGUGGGUUGCCAUUUCCCUCUCCAAUGCACGAAAGUGAAAAGUGAAAGUGAAGUCGCUCAGUCAUGUCCAACUCUUAACGACCCCAUGGACUGCAGCCUACCAGGCUUCUCCAUCCAUGGGAUUUUCCAGGCGAGAGUACUGGAGUGGGGUGCCAUUGCCUUCUCCAUGGAAUCACUAAAGACUUCAAACAGCAAAAAUAUCUUGAAAAUGAAGAAUCAAGCUGGAGGAAUCACACCCCCCAACUUUAGACCACACUACAAAACUACAGUAAUAAAGCAGCAUGGUACCGGCAUGGAAACAGAAAUAUAGACCAAGGGAACAAGAUAAAGAGCCCAUAGAUAAACUCAUGUACUCAUGGUAAAUUACUCUACAACAAAGGAGGCAAGAAUAUACAAUUGAGAAAUGACCAUCUCUUCAAAAAGUGUGUCUGUGAGAACUGGAGAACCACGCGUACAAGAGUGAGAUUAGGACAUUCUCUGAAGUCAUAGACAAAAAUAAGCUCCAGUUGGAUUAGAAACCAAAUGCAAGUCUGGCGCCCAUAAAGCCCCUAGAGAAAAACAUGGGCAGAACACUCUUUGACAUACAUCAAAGCUAUAUAUUUUGGGAUCUGUCUCUUAAAUCAAAGGGACUAAAAGCAAAAAUAAACAAAUGGGACCUAAUUAAACUUAAAAGCUUUUGCACAGCAAAGGAAAACAUCGACAAAACAAAAGACCACCUACUGAAUGGGAGAAAGCAUUUGCAAAUGAUCUGACCAAUGAAGGGUUAAUAUCCAAAUAUGUAAAAAGCUAUACAACUCAAUUUAAAAAAAAAACUACAACUUUAAAAAUGGGCAGAAGACCUGUGUAGCCAUUUUCCCAAACACAUACAGAUGGCCAACAGGCACAUGAAAAGAUUGUCCACAUUGUUAAUCAUCAUAGACAUUAAAACAGGAACAAGAUAUCACAUCACACCAGUCAGAGUGGCUAUCAUCAAAAAGAAUACAGCAAAUGUUGGUGAGGCUGUGGAGAAAAGGGAACCUUCAUACACUGUUGGUAUGAAUGUAAAUUGGUAUAGCCACUGUGGUAAGCAGCAUGGAAUUUACUCAAAAAACUAAAAAUAGAGCUGCCAUAUGACCAAGCAAUUCCACUCCUGGGUAUAUAUCUGAAAAAUGAAUGAAAAAAAUAAUUUGAAAAGAUACAUGAACCCAAUGUUCAGAGCAGCAUUAUUUACAAUUGCCAAGAUACGGAAGCAAUCUAAGUAUCCAUCAACAGAUGAAUGGCCAAAGAAGACAUGAUAUGGAUAUGUGUAUAUAUGUAUGUAUACAUAUGCAUAUCAUACAAUGGAAUACAACUCAGCCAAAAAAGAAAGAGAUUCUGUCAUUUGUGAUAACAUGGAUGGACUUUGAAGGUGUUCAGUUCAGUCGCUCAGUCGUGUCCGACUCUUUGCGAC